CCCAGGAUGCAGUCCGCAGCGCCCGCUCUCUUGUGCACAGUGGUGGCCUUCAUCCUCUUUGGUUCCAGCAAUAUGCAGAGUGUCACACAAUCUCCAAGUUCAGUACAAAGACCAGAGGGAGAAUCUGUGACCUUGGACUGCCGUUUCACACUCAGCUAUACUUAUUAUAUGAUGAGCUGGUUUCAACAGCUUUCCAAUGGAAAGAUGACUGAGAUCAUUAAUCUUUAUUCUGCUGGCAUGAGCACUAGGAAAGAACGAUAUUCACAUCAGAGAGGAAACAAAGCUGGAAGUCUCACCAUCACAGGCUUGAUGCCUACAGACUCAGCCACCUAUUUCUGUGCUGUUGGAGAAGCUCCACGGUGAGAGGAGUGACAAGAGAGCCUGGACUUAGCAUGAAUCAGCCACCUGCUCCAGGCUUAGGAGAAAACAACCCGCAAGAAGAAAAAAGUAGACAGAAGGCAGGGUGGGGGGCACUGAUGGAUCUAGAGUGGAAGCUGCCAAACGGUCCAGCAACAAUCUUCCCACAACUGGUUCAAAGAAACAGUUGUGAUUACAAGAUCCCAGCUUCAACAGUACAUUCACCUCGAAAUCUAGUGCCUAAAGCUGAUCACAUUGCAUUGGGCUCCACACAGUGCAUGAAGCCUGCUUGGGAUUCUCUCUCCUCUCUCUCUCUCUCUCUCUCUCUCUCUCU